rnacentral:tRNA from 1 species
GGCCGACUAGCUCAGUUGGUUAGAGCGUCGUGCUAAUACCAACUUCUGGUACGCGAAGGUCUUGGGUUCGAUCCCCACGUUGGCCA